rnacentral:tRNA from 1 species
AUUUUUAUGGUGUAUAAAACACCUAACAUUUUCACUGUUAAAAAGCGCUUGCUAAAAAUA